rnacentral:rRNA from 1 species
UACGUGAGGUGCAAACAUUACCCGGAAUUAUUGGGCGUAAAGCGUUCGUAGGCGGUUUUGCAAGUCUGACAUUAAAUCUUAAGGCUCGACUUUAAGACUGUGUCAGAAACUGCCAAACUAGAGGCUUGGAGAGGUGAGUGGAAUUCUACAUGUAGGGGUAAAAUCCGUAGAUAUGUAGAGGAACACCAAAAGCGAAGGCAGCUCACUGGACAAGUCCUGACGCUCAGGAACGAAAGCGUGGGUAGCAAACGGG